CCUAUCAGUGAUGAAGAUCUGGUGUUGAAUACCCUUCGUGUCUUGGGAUCUGAUUACUAUGAUUUUGCCACCUCCAUUCUUCUACGCGCUGAGCCAGUCUCCUUUGUAGAUCUAACGGAUCUGUUGCUUAGUCAUGAGA